GUCCCCAGGAGUGGCAGGACCUUCGUCACCCUCGUCGUGGAAGUGGGAACUCGAUUGAUGCGAUAAGGGUGUACCGGUUAUUACUGCAACCUGUCCGGAAAUCCAUUGAUUGAAUCCGCUUCCAUCUCCAUAAAGCUGGCAGGUUGAUUGGUUAUUGGCGUCUAUUAUUUAUAAGCAAGCUCCAGCAUUGAGAAGAUAUAACAAUAGUGAUCAAUAUAUUAGAUACUAAAUGGAAGAAAUAUGGUAAAAAUUGCUCUAAACUAUGUAAGCCAUUUCUAUGGAAAAUUUUGAAAAUUUACAGGCAUAAAUCUUGAAAUAUCAUUGUUGAACAAUUCUGUACUAAAUACUAGAAUACUACUAUAUCUAAUUUUCUAAAGGUAUUUAAAAAUGUAAAGAUUUAAAACAUAGGACAACCAAACUGUAUAUCCAUGCUAGUCACAUAGCUUUUUAACUUUAAUUUCAUUUAGCUCAAGAAGGAAGAUAGUAAUUUCUACUAAGUAGCAGUAACAAGAAUAGGAAAUUUAAUCAAUGUAUAAGAUUACCUUGGUCAGUGGGACAUUUUCUAAUCUACAGCAUUAAAUAUUGCAGAUAAUAUUACUAAAUAAAAGUUUUAAUAGUAUUCGGUAGAAUGUUAGAUUUUUGCAGGUACUUAAGGCUAGCAAUCCAGUUUAACGAAUUAGCAAAUACAUAAGGUAAGUGUACGAGUGUCAAUAAUUUAUAGAGAUGGUGAUAAGUGACUUAGAAAAAUGCUUUGACAAGAUAAAAUGUAAAAGGAUCUGAUUAGUUUGUUUACAUACCAGAUAAUACUUUAACAGAAUAAGGAGUGCUACUCCAGGAAACAUGUAAGGUUCAAAGUAGUAACAGCCCAAAAUAAAGAUGACCAGUGCGAUGA